rnacentral:misc_RNA from 1 species
GAAAAGAUGGGCGCUGGCAACAUGCUUGGUCCUCCUGGUAUUUCUACUUUAAACAAGAAUGCAAGCAUAAUUUCUUCAUUGUAAUACAUACCACACUAGUCAAGUAAUACACAGACAGAAGAGAAGUCAUCAGCUCUUUGUAAUUGCCAUUUAUAUAAAUUAUACCGGUCAACACAAUUGGGCAAGCAGUACAAAUGUUGAGCUGGGGAUCACAAUUUUCUUCAGCAACUACUUUUUUUAGUUCAAUGCAAGGCGAAAUAAAAUUGGUAAAUGAAGCUCGCGUAGAAAAGAAUGUGAAUGAAAUGAAUUUUUCAUAGUUGGCACCACCAGUGAAAUCCCAGUCCAGAUUUGUCUACAACCAUCUGCAAUUGGCAUCAUUUAUUGUGGAACAAUGAAUUCUCCUCUUGCAAUAGAAGAGUAAGUACUCUGCAUAUGGCGUACAUCCUUCUCAACACACCUCUUUGAUCCGGAAAAAUAAUUACAGGUUCACCACCAAAACACUAAUGAUACAGACAAGUCAACGUUGCAACAAUAACUCGCUAUCGAUUUUACAAUAUUACAUGAGUAAUGAUAUGACAACUAUUUGACAGACAAACCACCAUAAACUUAAGGAUUUAUGCUUACUUGGAAGUAGUUGCACCCAUUUACCUCACUCGUGGAGGUUGUUGACAUGCUCUACUUCCAUCCUGCCUUGGAUGAAGCGGAGAACGAUACUGCAAAGGUUGGUGGCUGUUUUGGUGGUUAGAACGAACUUUAGGUUCUCUUGGCCUCUCAUUACUUGCUUCAAUCCUUUCCAAUGUCUCUACAACUUCUUUCAUAGAUGGUCGAUGCUUGGGUUCAGAUUCAAUACAAUUUACAGCAAGCUGAGCAAUUCGGAAUGCUGCUUUUGAAGGAUAUUUCCCCUCUAACCGAGAGUCCAUAAUGCUCUUCAGCUUUCUUUUAUCAUAUAAAUAUGGUUUGAUCCAGUCAACCAGAUUAUGUCUCCCACUUGGACGGUUUGUAUCAAGUGCCCGCAAACCAGUCAAAAUCUCAACCAGGACAACCCCAAAACCAUACACAUCACUUUUUACAUAUAAAUGCCCUGUCGCAACAUACUCAGGAGCAGCAUAACCAUAUGUGCCCAUCACCCUUGUUGUCACAUGAGAUUGACUAGCAGAAGGCCCCAAUUUCGCCAAACCAAAAUCUGAAAUCUUGGCCGUGUAAGACUGCAACAAGACACAAGUUAAAAGAGAUAUUUGUCUUCCACUCACAUCUUCUAAAUGAAAAGCAUUUUAUCAACAAAUAUUUUAACCCUUAUCAUUGCUUCCAUGAAAGUAAUGAAGAGAGAGAGAGAGAGAGGAUGGAGCUAGAACAUUUCAGCCACAUUCAUCGUCUGAUUUACAGUGAAAAUCAUGACGAGCGAGUUGCUUGCUGCGGGUGUAAGAAGGAAAUAUCAGGUCCUAACUACAAUUGUGCCAAAUGUAGUUUCUUUCUUCAUAAGAGAUGUGCAGAGCUGCCCAGAGAGAUCAAGCAUCCCUUGCACAGCAAACACCCUCUUGCCCUCUUCAUGGCUUCAACAUAUCCUUCAGGACAAGGCGUGUGUGAUCUUUGCGACAAAUCUUUGGACAACUUGGUCUAUAAUUGUUCUCUGUGCCAAUUCGACCUCGACAUCCAAUGUGCCUUGCAGCCAUGCGUGACUGGUACAUCUGCAGGGAAUCGCGGUCAUCAAUUCAUUCACUUAAUCAGGUCAAUCCGUGUCCCAUUCACUUGCGAUGCAUGUGGUGUGGAAGGGACUCAAUCUCCUUAUUUAUGCACUGUGUGUCAAGUUAUGGUUCAUAAAAAAUGCAUUGAUCUGCCAAAAACUAUCAGAAUAACAGAGCAUGCACAUGUAAUUACCCACUUCUAUUUCCUUCAAGAAAGUAAUGAAUUGGCCCAAAUAUGUGGAAUUUGUCAUGCCCAAGUGGACAUAGACCAUGGGGGUUAUUAUUGUUCAGAUUGUGGAUAUGGUGUUCAUGUGAAUUGCGCCUUACAACAUAACAUAAGGGUUGAAGAUGAAGCUGAUCAAGAUCACAACCUAAAUAUUAACGCCCUCAAAGAUUCAUCCCUAGAGUCACAAGUUGCUAUGGGCGAGGAAGAAGUGGAAACAGAGAACAAACAUUUCAGUCAUGAACAUGGAUUAAGCAUCAUUGAUGAGGUUGGAGGCAACAAACGCUGUGAUGGGUGUAUGUUACCCCUGUCUGCUCCAAUCUACGGUUGUUCACAGUGUGAUAUGUUCCUUCACAAGGAAUGUUCUGAAUUACCUACCAAGAAGAAGCACCCACUUCAUCAACACUCGCUCAAUCUCCUCUCAAAGGCACAAACAGUUGAUGGCUUGUUCAAAUGUGAUGCUUGUGAUCAAUAUUGCCAUGGAUUUUGCUACCACUGUGACAAAUGUGAUUUCUUUAUUGAUGUUCGAUGCUCUGUCAUUACGGAAAACCUUAAACAUCAUGGACAUGAUCACCUCCUCCGCUUAGUCAAAGGCCAAAGAAGCUACGGUUCUUAUUGUAGUGCUUGUUAUUGUGGUAAGUUCACCUAUUUUGACUGCACUAAAUGUGACUUCUCGUUGGACUUUAGAUGUGCUAGUUUGCCAAGUUCGGUUAGUCACAGAUUUGAUGAGAAUCAUCCUCUUACACUGGACUACAAUUUUGUUAGUGGCAAAGACAUAGAGCAUUACUGUGCGAUUUGCGAGUGGAUAAUAGACCCGGGUUCCCAUAUCUUUGAUUGUGUACCCUGGUUCUAUGGGUGCAGGGAAUGCGAUAUUUCAAUUCAUCCUGAAUGUGUUCUUGGAAGGUACCCAUACAUCAAGUUUGGGGGUGCUUACUUGUAUGACAUUCACCCACAUCCGCUUACUUUAGUCCAAAAACCUUUCGUGAAAGUUCAAAGGAAAAAGCACUACCCUCCAUGUGAUUAUUGUGCUGAGCCCUUUUCUGUUGGUGAAAACAUUGGUGACCCCUGCCAGGACUUGGCUCUUCAGUGCAGCCAGUGUCCUUUCGUCAUCCAUAGGAAAAGUCCUUGUUUUACCCAAAAUGUACAAGAGAAAACUGCUAAUGCAUGAUUAUUUCUUCCUUUGUGCAUGAUUAGCUGUAACUUAUUCUUAAUGCCACUGGAUGCCAUAUAUUUAGUGCCCAAUCCUUCAGAACAAUACGUAGAUACACUUGUUAAUUACUUGGAAUUUAGAAGCCCCUUCAAAGCCUUUCAUCUUACAUUGCUGGAUUUGGAAACUGCCUAGGGGACAUAUCAUUGAUACAAGAAAACUACUACUUUUCACUGUUGCAAUUGCAAUGGAGAGAAUCACAUAAAUUAGGCCAAAUACAUGAUUUGAUAGAACGUUCUAUUAUGCACCUAAAUUUGAUAAAAAAAUCUCUAGCUUAUUUUCUGGCUUAUUCUUUGUCUUUUAGCCUUUCUCUUUUAAUAAAAUUAAGCUUAUCAAACAGAAAAAAUGCUGGUGAAUUAAGCUUAUUUUUUUGGCUUUUAGCCUUUCUCUUUUUAGCUGAAUACUCUCUAGAAGAAAGAACAAACGAAUAUAAGAAUUUUAUGUGAUUCGAGAAGUGUGCUUAUAUUUAGAGGAAUUACAUACUUUUUGCUAUAUGAAAAUGAAAAUAUUAUAACCCUAUUUAUAUUGACCUAAAUUAUUAUAUGCAAAAAGAUUUCUAAUAAAAAUAAGAUUUACAUAAUCUCUCCCAAUAAUAAAAAGAAUACCCAUUAGAAAUAAUAUAUCCAUUUCUUAAAAUAAUAACAUUAGAAAUUAAUUUUCUAAUAUUAAAAAUAAACUAAUUUAUUAGCAAUAAUUUUUUUUUUUAAUAUCUAGGGAUUAUGUAUAAUCUUUUUAUAUACAAUAUAUAUUUUUUUAUACAAUGGGAUUGAGGAUUCGAACCUGAUAAGUAGCCUUUAGUAUUAGACUAAAUUAAACUGGGCUUUUAUAUAUAAUAGAAGUGUUUUAAGAGUUAAAGGUAAUUUAUUACAUUAAAAAAAGUGAUUUAUGGAUGAUAAUAUUCAAUUUAUUUGUAAAAUUAUAUUUUUAAGAAGGAAAAAUUAU